rnacentral:rRNA from 1 species
GUGCCAGCAGCCGCGGUAAUACGAAGGGGGCUAGCGUUGUUCGGAAUUACUGGGCGUAAAGCGCACGUAGGCGGAUUGUUAAGUUAGGGGUGAAAUCCCAGGGCUCAACCCUGGAACUGCCUUUAAUACUGGCAAUCUCGAGUCCGAGAGAGGUGAGUGGAAUUCCGAGUGUAGAGGUGAAAUUCGUAGAUAUUCGGAGGAACACCAGUGGCGAAGGCGGCUCACUGGCUCGGUACUGACGCUGAGGUGCGAAAGCGUGGGGAGCAAACAGGAUUAGAUACCCUCGUAGUCC